GACGAACGCUGGCGGCGUGCCUAAUACAUGCAAGUCGAACGAGAGCGACCGGUGCUUGCACUGGUCAAUCUAGUGGCGAACGGGUGAGUAACACGUGGGUAACCUGCCCAUCAGAGGGGGAUAACAUCCGGAAACGGAUGCUAAAACCGCAUAGGUCUUCGAACCGCAUGGUUUGAAGAGGAAAAGAGGCGCAAGCUUCUGCUGAUGGAUGGACCCGCGGUGCAUUAGCUAGUUGGUGAGGUAACGGCUCACCAAGGCCGUGAUGCAUAGCCGACCUGAGAGGGUGAUCGGCCACAUUGGGACUGAGACACGGCCCAAACUCCUACGGGAGGCGGCAGUAGGGAAUCUUCCGCAAUGGACGCAAGUCUGACGGAGCAACGCCGCGUGAGUGAAGAAGGUUUUCGGAUCGUAAAACUCUGUUGUUAGAGAAGAACAAGUGCUAGAGUAACUGUUAGCGCCUUGACGGUAUCUAACCAGAAAGCCACGGCUAACUACGUG
rnacentral:rRNA from 1 species